GUUACCACUUCUUUGCAGGCCCUUAACCCUUUUGGGUAAACGCGUCUGCUUAAUACUGCAAUGUAGAUGUAGUAGCUCUUUAUGACUUAGCAGAAAAGACUAUUACUUUGCUGAAUCAAAAAGUUUCUAAAAACUAUUUUUGUGUUUCCCCCUUUUCCUUCCAAUCUUGUAUUCAAUUCUCCAACUGCAACUCCAUUCACUGCUGCAGUCAUGGAGAGCUGAAAAUUAUCAUGCACUCUGUAUGACACCUGUGCAGUUGCUGACUGCUUCUUUUCACCUGCCAGAGACUAUCCCUGAAUCAAUUUCUUGUGCAGGUGCCUCAACCAACCAACAGAAGCCGCAAUUGCAGCAACAACGAGCAGUGUAGAAGUAACCAGCUUUGCGGAAAAUGUGCGUUAGUGGAGUGCUGGAAAAAGAGCUCUGUCGAUGGUUUUCUGUUUAUUAUAAACUUCUGUUGCCAUUGCCAUGACCAGGAUAGUCGUCUAAGUGUAGCGGCUCGCUGAGUGAAAGCUGUCUGACCUACUAAUAGACAAGAGAGAGAGAGUGAGCGACGUCGAGAGAGAGAGGGAGAGAGGGAGAGAGCUGCACUUCCUAACAGAGUGUCCAAAAUACACACAUAUGGGAGGUCUACUGCAAAAAAAAAUCCAGGAACGUCAUACUGUGUUGACCAACACCCUGAAACUGACCAUCAUGUUGAAAGAUGAAAAGGAGAGCAGCACUGUAUGUAUCUGCCUGCAACAGUCCAGUCUGAGAGACACUGAUUAAUACACCCAAACAGCCCUAAUGGACCUGCACAGAGAUUUAUAUAUAUAUUUUAAUACUUUUUGCAUAUAUUUAUAUAACUGUCUUUCAAUGAUUUGGCAAUACAGUAGACCCUUGACUUAUGAAUUUAAUUGGUUCCGAAGGGCUGUUCUUAAUAGGGUUGCCAACCGUCCCGUAAAAUACGGAAUCGUUCCGUAUUUGGAAACUAAAUGUCGCGUUCCGUAUUGAACUGAUACGGGACGCGCUUUGUUCCGUAUUUUUAUCAAUGGGAGAGAAAUGCUGCAGAUUAGACUGUUCAAUACUAAAGCUGCGCGGUUCCUGAAUCACCCGGGUUAAUGAUUCGAAUCUUUGUACUGAAUCAGGAAUCACGAGUCCGAAAACUCAAUUAACCGGGAUCCUACGAGUCCUCUGACUGGCUGCUGCUGCUAAGUACACAAGGCGAGUGAGCCGACUCACUGGAAACACCUCUGACUCAGAUGAUUUGGCUGAACCGACUUCACUCCAGUGUAUGAAUCUAAGUAAUAAGUUAAAUAUUCCAAUAAACAGCGAUU